CUAAUCAUCUAUUUAUGUUAUACACAUUUCUAACUGGCUUACAGAUCUUUUAUGAAGUCAUUGAAUUCCACGUGUUUUUACCUAAGCUAAUCUGCUGAGUAAGUGCUAGCUACUGCAAUGCUUAACUAACAGUAUUAUGAUGUAUACUAGGGUUACAUAUUUAGAUCAUUUUCACUCUAUUUACUGGACAUAUGAUGAGAAAACAUAUACAGCAAAUUCAUUGUAAAUCUUAACUCUUUGACUGAAUAAAGAUUUCUUUUAAGGAACAAUUGUGCUUGAAAUCUUUUGUCAUUUAAAAACACUAAGCUAAUAUAUUUGCCUUCUGUUAUGACAAGGAUGGCUAGGAGCAACAACAAUCAUUUCAUAUAAGAAACAACAACAAUCACAAUUUUUACUUUGAAUAUUUGUUUGAUUUCAAAAUAGAUAUUUUAUGUACUUUCAAAAUAUAUUGUCAAGUUAUAAUAUCAGAAAUUUUGUAUAAAUUUAUACUUUAAAAAUAUAAAUCAGAACCAACUACUGUUCUUUUAUUAACACAGUUUUUAAAAAUAUAAAAUAUGUCACAUAAUAUUUGCAUUUGCAUGUUUUUCAUCAGUCAUAAGAAUGGUGACAGAAAAACAAGAUGAAAAUUUUCUCACAUAUCAUCCAUUUUAGAGAAGCAGGCAGAAGGGAUUUAGGUAUCAUAAGGAGAGACACCAAAUAACCCUGUAAGACCAAAAAAUCUUUCCAAACUGU
rnacentral:lncRNA from 10 species